GAUGAACGCUAGCUACAGGCUUAACACAUGCAAGUCGAGGGGAAACGACAUCGAAAGCUUGCUUUUGAUGGGCGUCGACCGGCGCACGGGUGAGUAACGCGUAUCCAACCUGCCCACCACUUGGGGAUAACCUUGCGAAAGUAAGACUAAUACCCAAUGAUAUCUCUAGAAGACAUCUGAAAGAGAUUAAAGAUUUAUCGGUGAUGGAUGGGGAUGCGUCUGAUUAGCUUGUUGGCGGGGUAACGGCCCACCAAGGCAACGAUCAGUAGGGGUUCUGAGAGGAAGGUACCCCACAUUGGAACUGAGACACGGACCAAACUCCUACGGGAGGCAGCAGUGAGGAAGAGUGGGCAAUGGACGAGAGUCUGAACCAGCCAAGUAGCGUGCAGGAAGACGGCCCUAUGGGUUGUAAACUGCUUUUAGAAGGGAAUAAAGUGAGUCUCGUGAGACUUUUUGCAUGUACCUAAUGAAUAAGGACCGGCUAAUUCCGUG
rnacentral:rRNA from 1 species